AUUGAACGCUGGCGGUAGGCCUAACACAUGCAAGUCGAACGCGAAAGUCCUUCGGAUGAGUAGAGUGGCGGACGGGUGGAGUAACGCGUAGGAAUCUAUCCUGUAGUGGGGGAGUAACGUUUCGAAAGGAACGCUAAUACCGCAUACGCCCCAAGGGGGAAAGCGGGGAGUCUUCGGACCUCGUGCUAUAGGAGGAGCCUGCGUCGGAUUAGCUAGUUGGUGAGGUAAAGGCUCACCAAGGCGACGAUCCGUAGCUGGUCUGAGAGGAUGAUCAGCCACACCGGAACUGAGACACGGUCCGGACUCCUACGGGAGGCAGCAGUGGGGAAUAUUGGACAAUGGGCGCAAGCCUGAUCCAGCAAUGCCGCGUGUGUGAAGAAGGCCUGCGGGUUGUAAAGCACUUUCAGUGGGGAAGAACAGAUUCGGGUCAAUACCCCGGAGCCCUGACGUUACCCACAGAAGAAGCACCGGCUAACUCCGUG
rnacentral:rRNA from 1 species